GGUCUAAUACCGGAUACUGAUCCUCGCAGGCAUCUGCGAGGUUCGAAAGCUCCGGCGGUGCAUGAUGAGCCCGCGGCCUAUCAUCUAGUUGGUGAGGUAACGGCUCACCAAGGCGACGACGGGUAGCCGGCCUGAGAGGGCGACCGGCCACACUGGGACUGAGACACGGCCCAGACUCCUACGGGAGGCAGCGGUGGGGAAUAUUGCACAAUGGGCGAAAGCCUGAUGCAGCGACGCCGCGUGAGGGAUGACGGCCUUCGGGUUGUAAACCUCUUUCAGCAGGGAAGAAGCGAAAGUGACGGUACCUGCAGAAGAAGCGCCGGCGAACUACGUGCCAGCAGCCGCGGUAAUACGUAGGGCGCAAGCGUUGUCCGGAAUUAUUGGGCGUAAAGAGCUCGUAGGCGGCUUGUCACGUCGGUUGUGAAAGCCCGGGGCUUAACCCCGGGUCUGCAGUCGAUACGGGCAGGCUAGAGUUCGGUAUGGGAGAUCGGAAUUCCUGGUGUACCGGUGAAAUGCGCAGAUAUCAGGAGGAACACCGGUGGCGAAGGCGGAUCUCUGGGCCGAUACUGACGCUGAGGAGCGAAAGCGUGGGGAGCGAACACGAUUAGAUACCCUGGUAGUCCACUCCGUAAACGGUGGGCACUAGGUGUGGGCAACAUUCCACGUCGUCCGUGCCGCAGCUCUCACAUUAUAUGCGCCGCCUGGGGAGUACCGCCCCCAGGCUAAACUCAUAGGAAUUGACGGGGGCCCGCACACGCGCCGGAGCAUGUGGCUUUUUUCGACGCAACGCGAAGAACCUUACCGAGGCUUGACAUACACGGGAGAAACAUGGAGACACGUUCCC
rnacentral:rRNA from 1 species